CUCAGGACGAACGCUGGCGGCGUGCUUAACACAUGCAAGUCGAACGAUGAAGCCUUUCGGGGUGGAUUAGUGGCGAACGGGUGAGUAACACGUGGGCAAUCUGCCCUUCACUCUGGGACAAGCCCUGGAAACGGGGUCUAAUACCGGAUAACACUCUGUCCCGCAUGGGACGGGGUUAAAAGCUCCGGCGGUGAAGGAUGAGCCCGCGGCCUAUCAGCUUGUUGGUGGGGUAAUGGCCUACCAAGGCGACGACGGGUAGCCGGCCUGAGAGGGCGACCGGCCACACUGGGACUGAGACACGGCCCAGACUCCUACGGGAGGCAGCAGUGGGGAAUAUUGCACAAUGGGCGAAAGCCUGAUGCAGCGACGCCGCGUGAGGGAUGACGGCCUUCGGGUUGUAAACCUCUUUCAGCAGGGAAGAAGCGAAAGUGACGGUACCUGCAGAAGAAGCGCCGGCUAACAUCGUGCCAGCAGCCC
rnacentral:rRNA from 1 species